UACGGGGGGAGCAAGCGUUGUUCGGAUUUACUGGGCGUAAAGGGCGCGUAGGCGGUCAGCACAAGUCAGUUGUGAAAUCUCCGGGCUUAACUCGGAAAGGUCAACUGAUACUGUGCGACUAGAGUGCGGUAGGGGAGACUGGAAUUCCUGGUGUAGCGGUGAAAUGCGCAGGAUAUCAGGGAGGAACACCGGUGGCGAAGGCG
rnacentral:rRNA from 1 species